CUGACACAUUCAGCAACAAUUGUGUAUUUUGCCUUAUCACAUUCUGGGUUAAAAAUCUCGGUUAUUUUUCUGUUCAGUAUUCAAGUCACCAGAAGUAUACCAUGAUAUUCGCUCCUCCUCCUGAAUUCGAUUUAGGAAGUGGUCAUUAUUUAUGGGGUGGAUGAUUUUGAGGAGGGGUUACAAAAUUUUGAAAGUUGCUGAAGGAGGGGUUAUGUUGAUUCUUG